ensembl:lncRNA
AUGCUCCAAGGGAGGCUGUGGCUCCAGCUGCUGUGUGCCGGUCUGCUGCUGUGUGCCAGCCUGUUCCUGCUCUACGUUUGGAUCCCUUCCAGGAACACUCCCUGGUGGAAGCAUCUUUCCCUCUCCUGGAUUUCCCCUCUGGGUUCCCCUUCCAGGAACACUCCCCUAGUGGAAGCACCUUUCCCUCUCCUGGAUUUCCACUCUGGGGUCCCCUACCACACUCUCCUGUGGAAGCCUGUCUUCCCUCCUAAACCCCAUCUCUAUUCCCUUCCACUCAGCGUGGAAGCUCUUUUCUUCCUGGGUUCCAUCUUUCUGGAUUCUCUCACUCAGUGUGGGAGGAGCUUCCUGCCCUGGUUUCCCCCUCUGGGAACCUGCUCACUCAGCGUGAGAGUUUGCUUUUCUCUCUCCAUUUUCUCUUUAAAUAAAUCACUUUCUACAAACACUUUUGAGUCGUAUUUCCUGCGCACUGCGCCAUGGUCCCCUCUCUCAUCCUUGAGAGGCCGGGAGACCACGAACCUGGAGAAACGUCCUCUCAGGGGAGGUGAGGGCACCCUGAACCCCAAUAUUACAUGCUUACUUGUAACAGUUUAAUAGAUUUCACUCUUCGCCUUUCGCCAUGAGGAAAAGCUCGCUGAGGGCCUCCCGAGAAGCCGAGCAGAGGCGGCUGCCCUGCCUGUGGAGCUGCGGAACCAUGAGCCAGCCAAACCUCUAUCCUCUAUAAAUUACCCGGCCUCGAGCAUUUCUUUAGAGCAAGGAAAGAACGGUCUAAUACACCCAGAGAGCUGAGAAUGGCGUGAGUGAAGCAUAACGACCAUGGAUGAAUUUCAAAAUCUAAAAACGUAAAACUAAUAUUAUAGGGGGAGUCAAUGCAGGAACAUGAGGGUGCUUCGGCAGAGGCUGUCACCCACUGGUCACAUGUGGUCAGCAGAGAGCAGGAGACCAGCACCCUGGGGCUCUGUGGGAAGCACCCACAGCCUGCAGCUGAGGUUUUAAUUAUAGGGGCCAAAACAAAUGGGGAAAAAGACAAAUUUAGCACGCAAAGAAAACAGAUGCUCAUCUGAGUCAGGAGGAAGUCACCAUCAAAGAGGAAAAAAAUAGAGCUCUGGAAAAGUAGUGAAAACAGUCACAAGGAAGGGCCCCUGUGUCUUGCCUGACUCUGGACAGGUAUAUAGAGAGCCCAGGCUCAGGGGACUCCACACCUGCACCUCCCUGUCUUCUCCUCCUCUACCUACUCCACCCUCAACCCACCAGAAACAUGGGCUGCUGUGGCUGCUCCGGAGGCUGUGGCUCCAGCUGUGGGGGCUGUGGCUCCAGCUGUGGUGGGUGUGGCUCCAGCUGCUGUGUGCCUGUCUACUGCUGCAAGCCCGUGUGCUGCUGUGUGCCAGCCUGUUCCUGCUCUAGCUGUGGCUCUUGUGGGGGCUCUAAGGGUGGCUGCAGCUGUGGCUCCUGUGGGGGCUCCAAGGGAGGCUGUGGCUCUUGUGGCUGCUGCCAGUCCAGCUGCUGUAAGCCCUGCUGCUGCUCCUCAGGCUGUGGGUCAUCCUGCUGUCAGUCCAGCUGCUGUAAGCCCUGCUGUUCCCAGUCCAGCUGCUGUAAGCCCUGCUGUUCCCAGUCCAGCUGCUGUAAGCCCAGCUGCUGCUCCUCAGGCUGUGGGUCAUCCUGCUGCCAGUCCAGCUGCUGCAAGCCCUGCUGUUCCCAGUCCAGCUGCUGCUCCUCAGGCUGUGGGUCAUCCUGCUGCCAGUCCAGCUGCUGCAAGCCCUGCUGCUCCCAGUCCAGCUGCUGUGUCCCCGUGUGCUGCCAGUGCAAGAUCUGAGGCUCUAGUGGGAAUUCUCAGGAAGCUCCUAAAGAUCUGUGCUUCCCAACAAGUGACACCCCAGACGCAUAUUCUCUUCCAGAGCUGAACAAUGAGUCCCCUGCUCAGGGCUUCUUUCUCAAGCCCUUGAAGAUGUGGAUGAACCAUUCCCUAUGAGGAUAUCCCAUGACCCAGGAACUCUUGCCCCUCCUUCCCACAUGCCGUGAUGUGUCUCAGCCAGACUGCACCUGGACACGGCCCUCAUGUCAAGGAGGUGCCUGGAAUUCCCCUUCCUGAUAAUUCCAUGGGAGACAGCAAACCUUUCUUUCCUGUGUCUGCCAGGAGUUCCAUGGCAUUUGCAGAUGGAUGUCCUAUAACCCGAAUAUCACGUGUAUCUAGGGAAAUCCAAAAUGGAUCUGGGUGCAGCACUAAAUAAAUUCUCCACCCAUCAGCCUGGGUCGCACUGACUCUUUUCUUCCAGUCUCUGUCUCAUUGGCAAACUGGCCACGUGUCCUUCCCCUCCCUCCCUGAGAGCUUAUUCCUCCCACUGCUGUGACUGUUUGCCAGGCCCAGAUCCCAUUACCCCCAGAAACAGUCAUUGAACUGCUUAAUGGAGGAAUCACUAGUGUCCUGGAUGAAUGAAUGAGGAUGAGUGAAUGAAUGAGUGAAUGAGUGAGUAUGUCUCAUUAGCACACAGGGAGCCACACCUUGUCUCAAUGGAAUUCAGUCUUUUUUGAUCAGAAUCAUGGAUUCCUGGUUCUUCCCCAUAGGAGGCUAUGUUUACGGGAGAAGGAGAUUUUUGCCCUCAGUGUCUAGGAAGGGGUGUAAUGGGUGGUCUCUGUGCCCAGCCAGGGCCCAGAGUGGGGGUCAAGCCGGGAGAGGGGGAAGCGGGACCACAAUGAGCUGUGUCCCUGAGAUGCUCUGUAGGAUGGCACUGGGAACUGUGCUGCUCCAGGGACCCAAGGCGCUGUGGCCGAGCACAGGCUGAGGUGCACCCUCCAUCUCUGGGCUCAGAGUGAGGAGGAAUUCAAGUGCCCCAUGACAAUUCACAGGCUGCACAGCUUUAAUGUGGCACAGGGAGGAACAGAAGGGACUAUUCUCAGCCUGAUAAAGGACAUCCACCCACAGCAAACAACACACUUAAUAGUGAAGACCCGAAUGCUUCCCCCUAAGAUCAGGAGCAAGGAAAGGAUGUCCACACUCAGCACUUCUAUACAACAUUUCACUGAAGCUCUAGCCAGAGUAAUAUGAUGG